rnacentral:rRNA from 1 species
AUCGAGCGUGAAAUCGAGUAGGGCGGGACACGUGAUAUCCUGUCUGAAUAUGGGGGGACCAUCCUCCAAGGCUAAAUACUCCUGACUGACCGAUAGUGAACCAGUACCGUGAGGGAAAGGCGAAAAGAACCCCUGUGAGGGGAGUGAAAUAGAACCUGAAACCGUGUACGUACAAGCAGUAGGAGCACCUUCGUGGUGUGACUGCGUACCUUUUGUAUAAUGGGUCAGCGACUUAUAUUCAGUGGCAAGGUUAACCGUAUAGGGGAGCCGUAGCGAAAGCGAGUCUUAACUGGGCGCUCAGUCUCUGGAUAUAGACCCGAAACCGGGUGAUCUAGCCAUGGGCAGGUUGAAGGUUGAGUAACAUCAACUGGAGGACCGAACCGACUAAUGUUGAAAAAUUAGCGGAUGACUUGUGGCUAGGGGUGAAAGGCCAAUCAAACUCGGAGAUAGCUGGUUCUCCCCGAAAGCUAUUUAGGUAGCGCCUCGGACGAAUACUACUGGGGGUAGAGCACUGUUAAGGCUAGGGGGUCAUCCCGACUUACCAACCCUUUGCAAACUCCGAAUACCAGUAAGUACUAUCCGGGAGACACACGGCGGGUGCUAACGUCCGUCGUGGAGAGGGAAACAACCCAGACCGCCAGCUAAGGUCCCAAAGUAUUGCUAAGUGGGAAACGAUGUGGGAAGGCUCAGACAGCUAGGAUGUUGGCUUAGAAGCAGCCAUCAUUUAAAGAAAGCGUAAUAGCUCACUAGUCGAGUCGGCCUGCGCGGAAGAUGUAACGGGGCUAAGCAAUACACCGAAGCUGCGGCAAUGUCUUUUAGACAUUGGGUAGGGGAGCGUUCUGUAAGCCGUUGAAGGUGAAUCGUAAGGUUUGCUGGAGGUAUCAGAAGUGCGAAUGCUGACAUGAGUAACGACAAAGGGGGUGAAAAACCUCCUCGCCGGAAGACCAAGGGUUCCUGUCCAACGUUAAUCGGGGCAGGGUGAGUCGACCCCUAAGGUGAGGCCGAAAGGCGUAAUCGAUGGGAAACGGGUUAAUAUUCCCGUACUUCUGACUAUUGCGAUGGGGGGACGGAGAAGGCUAGGUGGGCCAGGCGACGGUUGUCCUGGUUCAAGUGCGUAGGCUUGAGAGUUAGGUAAAUCCGGCUCUCUCUAAGGCUGAGACACGACGUCGAGCUACUACGGUAGUGAAGUCAUUGAUGCCAUGCUUCCAGGAAAAGCCUCUAAGCUUCAGAUAGUCAGGAAUCGUACCCCAAACCGACACAGGUGGUCGGGUAGAGAAUACCAAGGCGCUUGAGAGAACUCGGGUGAAGGAACUAGGCAAAAUGGUACCGUAACUUCGGGAGAAGGUACGCUCUUGAUGGUGAAGUCCCUCGCGGAUGGAGCUGACGAGAGUCGCAGAUACCAGGUGGCUGCAACUGUUUAUUAAAAACACAGCACUGUGCAAAAUCGCAAGAUGACGUAUACGGUGUGACGCCUGCCCGGUGCCGGAAGGUUAAUUGAUGGGGUUAGCGCAAGCGAAGCUCUUGAUCGAAGCCCCGGUAAACGGCGGCCGUAACUAUAACGGUCCUAAGGUAGCGAAAUUCCUUGUCGGGUAAGUUCCGACCUGCACGAAUGGCGUAAUGAUGGCCACGCUGUCUCCACCCGAGACUCAGUGAAAUUGAAAUCGCUGUGAAGAUGCAGUGUACCCGCGGCUAGACGGAAAGACCCCGUGAACCUUUACUACAGCUUGGCACUGAACAUUGAACCUACAUGUGUAGGAUAGGUGGGAGGCUAUGAAGACGUGACGCCAGUUGCGUUGGAGCCGUCCUUGAAAUACCACCCUUGUAUGUUUGAUGUUCUAACUUAGACCCAUUAUCUGGGUUGAGGACAGUGCCUGGUGGGUAGUUUGACUGGGGCGGUCUCCUCCCAAAGAGUAACGGAGGAGCACGAAGGUGGGCUAAUCACGGUUGGACAUCGUGAGGUUAGUGCAAUGGCAUAAGCCCGCUUAACUGCGAGAAUGACGGUUCGAGCAGGUGCGAAAGCAGGUCAUAGUGAUCCGGUGGUUCUGUAUGGAAGGGCCAUCGCUCAACGGAUAAAAGGUACUCCGGGGAUAACAGGCUGAUACCGCCCAAGAGUUCAUAUCGACGGCGGUGUUUGGCACCUCGAUGUCGGCUCAUCACAUCCUGGGGCUGAAGUCGGUCCCAAGGGUAUGGCUGUUCGCCAUUUAAAGUGGUACGCGAGCUGGGUUUAGAACGUCGUGAGACAGUUCGGUCCCUAUCUGCCGUGGGCGUUGGAAGAUUGAAGGGGGCUGCUCCUAGUACGAGAGGACCGGAGUGGACGAACCUCUGGUGUUCGGGUUGUGUCGCCAGACGCAUUGCCCGGUAGCUAAGUUCGGAAUUGAUAAGCGCUGAAAGCAUCUAAGCGCGAAGCGAGCCCUGAGAUGAGUCUUCCCUGACAGUUUAACUGUCCUAAAGGGUUGUUCGAGACUAGAACGUUGAUAGGCAGGGUGUGUAAGCGUUGUGAGGCGUUGAGCUAACCUGUACUAAUUGCCCGUGAGGCUUAACCAUACAACACCCAAGGGGUUUUGUA